CAGAGAGAUCCCUUGCAAGUUCCACCAUGUGAGGAUACAGGGAGAAAAUGGCAGUCUAUGAACCAGGAAGCAAGUCUUCACCAGAACCCAGCUGUGCUAGCACCCUGAACUCAGGCUUUCAGCCUCCAGAACUAUCCUCAGAGCUUUAUAGCCUUUCAGUUGAGAAAUAUGAAACACUGAAAAUCAAAAACAAAUGCUGGAAAUCUUCUCCUGCCACCAUGUAAGAUAUGCCUUUCACCUUCAGCCAUGAUUGCGAGGCCUCCCCAGCCUGAUGGAAUUAAAAACCAUGCCUUUCCUAUGUGGAUAAUCAGCAAAGCUGAGGACAUCGGGAAGCAACUCAGGAUUGCCAGUUUACAGCUCUUCUGGAUGUGCACUGGUUAAUGCAUGGAAUUCAGCAACAGCAGACUUUGUUCCUUUGAUGGAUCCAGAAGAUCGCCACAUCAAGGAAUAUGGAGAGAUGUCCAAAUUUCUACCAAAGCAAUGCUGUUCUGUCCGCAGUAGGCAGUUUGUGUGGAGGUCCAGGGGCCCAGCCAGGUUGCAGCUGAUGAUUCUGUAGAAAGGCCUAAAAUUAAUUUUAGAAAAGCAUACUCAAGACAAUAGACUAUUAUUACACGGAUAAAAAAUAUAAGAAUAAAGAGUGUAAACACGUUACCAAAGUGAAUUCUUGAAAUGGAAGAGAAACUUGGCCUUCUUUAGCUUCACCAUUUGUUCCUGCCUUCCACCUCCAAUAAUAGUAUAUGUCUCAAUCCUUGUCUAUACUCCAAAUUUGAAUUGUAUAAUUAAAUUGGUUAAAACUUA